GCUCCCGGGUAUAUGAGGGGGGAAAGCCCUCACUCAUGCCCCUCUAACCCAGACUCGCACACCCCUCGCAGGGCCGGUUAGAAUUGAGGCCUGGAUCAACCAACCGCCGCCGCCUGAGCUUCUCAACGCUUGCCCUCGGCUGUUGGUCGGAACCACGAAGGCGAUUUGUGUGCGCUCAUCGGAAGCAUUGUAGCUAGACAAGAUGUCGGAAUCUAGAAUACCCCUUCGGCCUGCUCAGUUCACAAAGGGGUCCCUGAACUUCGCCAAAAUAAACCCGCAGUCCACUCAG
rnacentral:lncRNA from 7 species